UGAGAGAAGUUAUCGUUACGCCAUGAUCGAGAGACAAAGGAAGGAGAAGAACCAGAGCAUCAUUAGAGAUGAAAUAGAAGCAAUCGAAGCAGGAAUCGAAGAAGAGAAUGGAGAAACAAAUCAGAGCAAUUGCGGCUUUAUGGGCCUUUGGCCCUUUACGGUUUUAAUGUAUAACGUUUCGAUUUGUUGUAAGGAUUUGAAAUUAAAAUUCGCAUUAUGGUCGGACGGUUUG